rnacentral:rRNA from 1 species
UACGUAGGGGGCAAGCGUUGUCCGGAAUCAUUGGGCGUAAAGCGUGCGCAGGCGGUUUUGUAAGCCAGAUGUGAAAGCCCCGGGCUCAACCUGGGAAUGGCAUUUGGGACUGCAAGGCUGGAGUUUGGCAGAGGAGACUGGAAUUCCCGGUGUAGCAGUGAAAUGCGUAGAUAUCGGGAGGAAUACCGAUGGCGAAGGCAGGUCUCUGGGCUAUAACUGACGCUCAUGCACGAAAGCGUGGGGAGCAAACAGG